rnacentral:rRNA from 1 species
AGAACGAACGCUGGCGGCAUGCUUAACACAUGCAAGUCGAACGCUCUCGGGGCUUCGGUUCCGGGGGAGUGGCGCACGGGUGAGUAGCGCGUGGGAACCUGCCCUGUUGUGGGGGAUAACCGAGGGAAACUUCGGCUAAUACCGCAUACGCCCCGGAGCAAUCCGGGGGAAAGAUUUAUCGCAGCAGGAGGGGCCCGCGUCGGAUUAGGUAGUUGGUGGGGUAACGGCCCACCAAGCCUGUGAUCCGUAGCUGGUCUGAGAGGAUGAUCAGCCACAUUGGGACUGAGACACGGCCCAAACUCCUACGGGAGGCAGCAGUGGGGAAUAUUGGACAAUGGGCGCAAGCCUGAUCCAGCCAUGCCGCGUGAGUGAUGACGGCCUUAGGGUGUAAAGCUCUUUCGCUCGGGACGAUAAUGACGGUACCGAGAUAAGAAGCCCGGCUAACUUCGUGCCAGCAGCCGC